AGAUGUGCUAUUUAUUUUUAUAAAUAUUACUUUUAUUUAUUUGAUCAACAUUAAGUUAAAUAAAUUGUGAUGCUUUAAAAGCUCUUAUAAUUAAAUAAAAAAUAAAAUAAAAUUCACUUGGGGCACCAUUUUAUAAACACUGUAAACCUAAGAUUUAUCUAAUACAUAAUUACAGCAAAAGUACUUAUAAAUAUAUUAGUAUUACUUAAAUGGACUGUUCUACAAAUAAUGUGAAGUUUGAUACUGAUAAAACAUCAGUUACUUUAUUACAAGACAUAUUAAAUAAACAAGGAGUACGCACCGUUCAGUAUGAAUUACUACAAAUUGAAGGAGCUGUUAGUGCACCAUCAUUUCAGUAUCGUGUUACUGAUGGACGAUUUGUGGCUUAUGGUCAAGGAAAAUCAAAAAAAGAAGCUAAACAACAUGCAGCUAAGGCUUUACUACGGAUUAUUCAUAAAGAAUUUCCUGAAUUGUGUUCUGAUCCUUUAUUUGAAUCACAAAUUGAUUUUACCUCAGACUUGAAUGAUACAUUUGAAACAAUGAAUUUUGGAGACAAUGAUGAACGUAAUCCAAUUGGUAUGCUUCAGGAACUUUGCACUUCUCUCCAUCUUCCUCCACCAGUUUACAUAACAGAAUGUGAAGAUGGUCUUCCUCAUCAGCGUUUAUUUACUGUUUCAUGUAAUGUCUCUGAGUACAAGGAGACUGGUAUAGGCAAAUCAAAAAAAAUUGCGAAACGACUUGCUGCCAAUAAUCUUUAUUUAAUGUUAAAAAGCAUUCAGGCAGAUCUCAGUGUAAACUCUAAAGCAGCUGAAAAUGUUGAUGACUUUGUUCGUCAACAGUCAAGCAAUCUAAGUGGUUUGAAAAAUUCAAAAUCUACUUCUCAAUUUUAUAGGUUACCUGAAAUUCAUAGACAUUUACCAUUAACUGAAGGUCCUUGCUAUAAUGAUCUAAAAAAAAUGGAUGAUGAACAAAUGUAUUCAUGUGACAGUAAACUGGUUUUAGACAAUUUUACUGCUGAACAAGGACUUAACGUAUCAUUUAUUGAUUUUGAAGAACUCUCGAGUACCGGCAAAUACCAAACUUCUCUUCAAGUAUCUACUCCCAUUACUGUGGCUUUUCACGGUGAAUCCACUAUCAGCUUUGAAGAAGCUCAACAGGAUGCUGCUUAUAGAUCAGUAACAAAGUUUAGGACUUGGUUACCUGGGAAAAAUUAUUUUUUGGUACUUGUCUCAUUUGCUAUCUAUUACACAUUCCUAUGUAUUAUGCUCUCUUGGUCAACUACAGUGGAAAGUACGACUAAUUCGACAGUUUGUGUUGUUAUAAACAGUAGUCAACAGUCAAACAAUUUAAUAAAUUUGGAUACACGUACAAUUUAAGUAAUAUAUGAAAUCACAUCAGAAAACAACAUAUUUGAAAAUUUUCUUCAAGAAAUUAAAAAAUCAUACAUAAUAUAGUAGAUUGUAUAACCAUUGAAAAUGUUAAAAAACAGAUCAGGUAAAAAGUAAUGAGAAUUUCGUAUUUAAUUAGCUUGGAGAAUAAUAAUUUUUGAAUCUUAUGCAUGUUUGUAUUUGUCUUGAAUAAGCAACAUAUUAACAAAAUGUCAAUAUAAUAUAAUUAUAAAUUAUAAUGUACUAUAUGCAAGCAAUAUAUUAUAUUAUAAAUUGAAUAUUGUUAAGUAUAGAUUAUUUCAAUUUCAUCAUAUAACAAAUAAAAAAAAUCAUCAGUGUCUGAAAAUAUACUAUUAUGACAUAAUUAAAUAAUACUAUAUGAAAUCGACAAGUAUUAUCUAAUCUAUGUAUUGCUAAUAGGAAAAAUAACUGAUUAAUAUAUUAAGUAAGUGUUUGUCUACUCGAGUAAAAUGGUUCAAAUAAAAAAAAUAUGUCCCAUUAUUUAUUGUUCACUUGACUAAAUUUUAUCGAAAUGUACUAUAUAAAAUUCAAUUGAAUAUCAGUCUGUUCUUAAAAUAUUUAACCACAUGCCUAUACAUCAUAGAAAUCUACUUUAUAUUUUGAAUGGAGGUAGUAAGCAAUUAAUAUUUUUACAAAUCCAGAAAUAUAUCAUUAAUGCUUUAUGUAAGUUAAUAGUUUCUCAUCUACAGAUAAUUAUUAAUAAAUAUUAACAACUGUUAUCAAUAAUGUUGGCAUUAUAGUUACAUAGCCUUGAACUUAAGAGAACGCCUGUAUGUUUUGUUUCUGUCUUAAAAACAUAUAACAGAAAAUUUGCGUUUAGCAGAAUUAGAUUUAUUUUAUUAGCUUUGAUAUUUGAGUUCAUUGAUUCAUAAUUAAUUUUAAAGGUAAGAAUAUUAUUAUCCUUUGCAUCUUAUAAGUUAUCAAAAAAAUGCACAUUUUAAAACUGUGCAUGUUGUAUAAUACUUAUUUAAAUAUUUAAAUAUCAAUAUAAACUUACCAAAUGCCAAGGAUAAUAUUCUUAAUUUUAAGAUUAAUAUUAAAAGUAACAAUACAAAAUGGUUUUGUCUUUUGUUGAAUGCAAAUUUUAUAUUUUGUAUAUUUCUAAGGAUUAAGGAAACAACACCUUUUAUGUAUGUAGUGUUCUUGUAUUAUAUUCUGAUAAUUAAAAGUGAGAUUGUUAAUCAUAAACCAACUAGAAUUUAUAUUAGAUUGUUAGAGUGGCUAUCAAACAUUUUAAUGUAGCAAUGUAAGAAUAAUUUAAUGAUUGUUAUCAUAAGUAGAUUAAAGUAUUAAUCAUAAAGAACACUAUUUAAUUGGUAUUAUUAUUUUAUUUAUACAAAUGUUACACAAAUUAUAUAUAUAAAAAAAAAAAAACAUAAAUUAAAAAUACAAAGUAAAUAUUUAUUUUUCAACUAAUUCAGACCAAUUUUUAUGAUGGUAUUUGCAUACAGGAUUCAACAUUGGCUUUAUUUCAAAAUCUUAACAAGCGAAUAAGGUCUUUAUUUUUUCUUAGGUCUUGGAUUCUUUCCAACUUCCCAACUUCUAACCUCCAAGUAUACAUAUUAGCUCAUAGAUUAGAAAUAAUAUAACAAUUUUUUUACAGAUCUAAAUUGAUUUUAUCCAUAAAUAUUUAAUUUAAAAAAUGUUUAUGAAUGGAAAAUUGAAUUUGAACAUGAUCAUAAAGCAAAAGAGCACUGACUUCUUUUCUGACUAGUAUGAGACCACUCCAUAAAACUACCCAAACAGAACCAGACGGACCACAAUCAAUGUAUCUAGAUUCACUGCCCUCUUUUGUCGGAACACAGAUCCACAAACAGCCUUCAGGCCAUGUUUUGUUUACAUUUUUACGGUAGAAAAUCUGUAAUUCAAGAUCUUUUAGAACAAAAAUUAUAUGUUGUUUUGUUAUUAUAAUUUGAGAAUCUAUUAAAAAUUAUAUAAAUGUC